CCUUUCAAUAGGUGGGGCUGUUUUGCAACACUUCCACCCAAGAGGAUGGAGGUAGGACCUCACUUCUGAAAGGGUUGAUAAAAUUCAGAUGAACUUAUGCGGCUUUAAGUACAUUUUUUAAAACUGUCCUAAGAAUCCAGUGUCGUUAAAGCUUAAUAAUGGUCAGAAAUCCAGUUCUACUCUUUUAUUUGCUCUGCUGGCAUUUUGGCCAUUUGUUGAGCAGUGUUGAUCAAACUCCUUCUGAAGUCAUUGUGCAUUCUGGACAGGCCUGCACUCUAUCCUGCUCUCACAGUAUCUCCAGCUACAACACUAUACUGUGGUACUACCAGCAUGAGCAUGGUCAAGGCAUGCACAUUAUUGGAUAUACCUUUCAUAGUACCCACAAUUUGGAGAAUGCAGAUGAUAAAAAAUACAAGCUGAAAGGAGAUGCCAAGAGUUCUGUGAACCUGACAAUCUCAGAGCUCACGUUUAAGGAAAGUGCAGUGUAUUUCUGUGCAGCCAGUUCACACAGUGCUGUAGGCCCCCCAUGA